ensembl:snRNA U6 U6 spliceosomal RNA
GUGCUUGCUUCAGCAGCACAUACACUAACAUUGGAACGAUACAGAGAUCAGUAUGGCCCCUGCGCAAGGAUGACACGCAAAUCCGCAAAGCAUCCCACAUUUUA